UACGGGGGGAGCAAGCGUUGGUCGGAUUUACUGGGCGUAAAGGGCGCGUAGGCGGCCUCCGCAAGUCAAUUGUGAAAUCUCCGAGCUUAACUCGGAAAGGUCAACUGAUACUGCGGGGCUAGAGUGCGGAAGGGGCAACUGGAAUUCUUGGUGUAGCGGUGAAAUGCGUAGAUAUCAAGAGGAACACCUGCGGCGAAGGCGGGUUGCUGGGCCGACACUGACGCUGAGGCGCGAAAGCUAGGGGAGCGAACGGG
rnacentral:rRNA from 1 species